rnacentral:rRNA from 1 species
UACGAAGGGGACUAGCGUUGUUCGGAAUUACUGGGCGUAAAGCGCACGUAGGCGGACUUGUCAGUCAGGGGUGAAAUCCCGGGGCUCAACCUCGGAACUGCCUUUGAUACAGCAAGUCUUGAGUCCGAUAGAGGUGGGUGGAAUUCCUAGUGUAGAGGUGAAAUCCGUAGAUAUUAGGAAGAACACCGGUGGCGAAGGCGGCCCACUGGUCCGGUACUGACGCUGAGGUGCGAAAGCGUGGGGAGCAAACAGG